CCACCUUUUCCUUCGUCUAUGCCGUGCUCCUCCACUUUCCCUCUAACUUUAACCCGCCUCUCUCUCUCUCCUCUUCCUCUUCUCCUUCUUCAUCUUUAAUCUGCUCCUCCACCUCCUCCUCCUCGCCUCUUUCAUCUUCAACCCACCCGUCCUCCUCCUCCUCCUCUCCUCUGUUUUCAACCCACCCUUCCUCCUCCAUCCCGUCCAUCCUCUUCCAGCUCCAACCUGCCCCUCCUUCUCCUCCUCCGCUCCUCUAUCUUCAACCUGCCCUCCUCCUCCAUUUGCAACUGAGUCUUUCUCUUUCAUUGGUGCCUUGGUGUUCCUAUUUUGAGUUCCAUGAUAAGGGUCUCGGGAUUGGGUUGAAAGAGAGAAGGCUGUUCAGAAAAAGCCGAUCAAGUUUCACAAAAUUAUGCUCCUUACUAUGAAAAUAAUCCAAAAUUUCAAAAAAUUACCACACUAGCCAUGCAC
rnacentral:lncRNA from 1 species